GCGCUGAACGCCGGGAGUCCGGCGGACCCCGCGGGAUCCCCGUGCCGCCGGCCGAGACUGUACUCCUGCUCAGACGUUUGACAAAGGAAACCUUUGAAAUGACCCCAGCCCUAGCCAGUGUGUGACUGCAACUGCAUGAGAAACCCUAAGCCAGAACCUCCUAGCUGAACCCAUUCAAACUCCAGAAUGAGCAAAGGCAGGAGCCAGAGCUUGGGAUUUCCUAGGAUGAUGCUCAGGACAUGUAGCCAGGUAGGAGCCUCUUCCUUUCCUCCCUGUCUCCCCCUUCUCCUGAGAGCACACUUGUUAUUAUCAAUAACAGCAAUGACAGCACACUUAAUGGGUGCUGAUUAUGUAGCUGCCAGACCAUGUUGAGGUUUUAUAUAUGUCUCGUUAACUCAAAUUCUCACAACAAAUCAUACAAGUUAGGUAUU